AGACCCGAAACCCGGUGAUCUAGCCAUGGGCAGGUUGAAGGUUGGGUAACACUAACUGGAGGACCGAACCGACUAAUGUUGAAAAAUUAGCGGAUGACUUGUGGCUGGGGGUGAAAGGCCAAUCAAACCGGGAGAUAGCUGGUUCUCCCCGAAAGCUAUUUAGGUAGCGCCUCGUGAAUUCAUCUCCGGGGGUAGAGCACUGUUUCGGCAAGGGGGUCAUCCCGACUUACCAACCCGAUGCAAACUGCGAAUACCGGAGAAUGUUAUCACGGGAGACACACGGCGGGUGCUAACGUCCGUCGUGAAGAGGGAAACAACCCAGACCGCCAGCUAAGGUCCCAAAGUCAUGGUUAAGUGGGAAACGAUGUGGGAAGGCCCAGACAGCCAGGAUGUUGGCUUAGAAGCAGCCAUCAUUUAAAGAAAGCGUAAUAGCUCACUGGUCGAGUCGGCCUGCGCGGAAGAUGUAACGGGGCUAAACCAUGCACCGAAGCUGCGGCAGCGACACUGUGUGUUGUUGGGUAGGGGAGCGUUCUGUAAGCCUGUGAAGGUGUGCUGUGAGGCAUGCUGGAGGUAUCAGAAGUGCGAAUGCUGACAUAAGUAACGAUAAAGCGGGUGAAAAGCCCGCUCGCCGGAAGACCAAGGGUUCCUGUCCAACGUUAAUCGGGGCAGGGUGAGUCGACCCCUAAGGCGAGGCCGAAAGGCGUAGUCGAUGGGAAACAGGUUAAUAUUCCUGUACUUGGUGUUACUGCGAAGGGGGGACGGAGAAGGCUAUGUUGGCCGGGCGACGGUUGUCCCGGUUUAAGCGUGUAGGCUGGUUUUCCAGGCAAAUCCGGAAAAUCAAGGCUGAGGCGUGAUGACGAGGCACUACGGUGCUGAAGCAACAAAUGCCCUGCUUCCAGGAAAAGCCUCUAAGCAUCAGGUAACAUCAAAUCGUACCCCAAACCGACACAGGUGGUCAGGUAGAGAAUACCAAGGCGCUUGAGAGAACUCGGGUGAAGGAACUAGGCAAAAUGGUGCCGUAACUUCGGGAGAAGGCACGCUGAUAUGUAGGUGAAGUCCCUCGCGGAUGGAGCUGAAAUCAGUCGAAGAUACCAGCUGGCUGCAACUGUUUAUUAAAAACACAGCACUGUGCAAACACGAAAGUGGACGUAUACGGUGUGACGCCUGCCCGGUGCCGGAAGGUUAAUUGAUGGGGUCAGCGCAAGCGAAGCUCUUGAUCGAAGCCCCGGUAAACGGCGGCCGUAACUAUAACGGUCCUAAGGUAGCGAAAUUCCUUGUCGGGUAAGUUCCGACCUGCACGAAUGGCGUAAUGAUGGCCAGGCUGUCUCCACCCGAGACUCAGUGAAAUUGAACUCGCUGUGAAGAUGCAGUGUACCCGCGGCAAGACGGAAAGACCCCGUGAACCUUUACUAUAGCUUGACACUGAACAUUGAGCCUUGAUGUGUAGGAU
rnacentral:rRNA from 1 species